rnacentral:rRNA from 1 species
UACGUAGGGGGCUAGCGUUGUCCGGAAUCAUUGGGCGUAAAGCGCGCGUAGGCGGCCCGGUAAGUCCGCUGUGAAAGUCAAAGGCUCAACCUUUGAAUGUCAGCGGAUACUGCCGGGCUAGAGUCCGGAAGAGGCGAGUGGAAUUCCUGGUGUAGCGGUGAAAUGCGCAGAUAUCAGGAGGAACACCGGUGGCGAAGGCGGAUCUCUGGGCCUGUUCUGACGCUGAGGCGCGAAAGCUAGGGGAGCGAACAGG